CUGUGCUUGUGACUCAGACCCCCUUGACUGCCCAGUGAGCAUCUCCAGCGCAAGAGCUGGGUCUGUGCCUGGCACAUGCACACACACCCCUGCUGUUUUCUUGACCAUGCUGAGCAGGCUGGGUGAGGUGGCCACAGAUAGCUGGUGUGGGCGUUCAGAACACAGGAGCUGCAACGCUCAGGCAGGAGGACAGAGGUCCCUGGCACGGGACAAACCACUGUGCUGCCUGCCUGCACCCUGCUCACCCACGCUCCUUAGCUGGGAGUGUCCUGGCCUGGGAGGCCUCCUCUUCCUGGCUUGCUUGUCACACAUAUAUGGUCA
rnacentral:lncRNA from 1 species